GACGAACGCUGGCAGCGUGCUUAACACAUGCAAGUCGAACGGAAAGGCCCUGCUUUUGUGGGUGGCUGGGGUGGCAACCGGGUAGUAAACCGGUAGUUAACCUGCCUUUGCCUUGGGGUAAACUUCAGGAAACUGGGGCUAAUACGGGAUGGGAGCUCUUCCGGCAUGUGGGGGGUGGGAAAGUUUCGGCGGUUGGGGAUGGACUCGCGGCUUAUCAGCUUGUUGGUGGGGUAGUGGCUUACCAAGGCUUUGACGGGUAGCCGGCCUGAGAGGGUGACCGGCCACAUUGGGACUGAGAUACGGCCCAGACUCCUACGGGAGGCAGCAGUGGGGAAUAUUGCACAAUGGGCGGAAGCCUGAUGCAGCAACGCCGCGUGCGGGAUGACGGCCUUCGGGUUGUAAACCGCUUUCGCCUGUGACGAAGCGUGAGUGACGGUAAUGGGUAAAGAAGCACCGGCUAACUACGUG
rnacentral:rRNA from 1 species